CCUACGGGUGGCAGCAGUGAGGAAUAUUGGUCAAUGGACGAGAGUCUGAACCAGCCAAGUAGCGUGAAGGAUGACUGCCCUAUGGGUUGUAAACUUCUUUUAUAAAGGACUAAAACGAGGCACGUGUGCCUUUUUGCAUGUACUUUUGAAUCAGGAUCGGCUAAAUCCGUGCCAGCAGCCGCGGUCAUACGGAGGUACCGAGUUGUAACCGGAUUUAUUGGGUUUAAAGGGAGCGUAGAUGGGUUGUUAAGUCAGUUGUGAAAGUUUGCGGCUCAACCGUAAAAGUGCAAUUGAUACUGGCAGUCUUGAGUACAGUUGAGGUAGGCGGAAUUCGUGGUGUAGCGGUGAAAUGCUUAGAUAUCACGAAGAACCCCGAUUGCGAAGGCAGCUUACUAAACUGUGACUGACAUUGAUGCUCGAAAGUGUGGGUAUCAAACAGGAUUAGAUACCCGAGUAGUC
rnacentral:rRNA from 1 species